rnacentral:rRNA from 1 species
UACGUAGGGUGCAAGCGUUAUCCGGAAUUAUUGGGCGUAAAGAGCUCGUAGGCGGUUUGUCGCGUCUGCUGUGAAAACCCGAGGCUCAACCUCGGGCCUGCAGUGGGUACGGGCAGACUAGAGUGCGGUAGGGGAGAUUGGAAUUCCUGGUGUAGCGGUGGAAUGCGCAGAUAUCAGGAGGAACACCGAUGGCGAAGGCAGAUCUCUGGGCCGUAACUGACGCUGAGGAGCGAAAGCGUGGGGAGCGAAAAGG